rnacentral:tRNA from 1 species
AAGACGCUAGUAAAACUGACAUUACACUGCUUUGUCAAGGCAGUAUCGCGGGUUUAAACCCCGCGUGUCUUA